AAUGAACGCUGGCGGCGCGCCUAAUACAUGCAAGUCGAGCGAGAAGACGUAGCAAUACGUUUGUAAAGCGGCGAACGGGUGAGGAAUACAUGGGUAACCUACCCUCGAGUGGGGAAUAACUAGCCGAAAGGUUAGCUAAUACCGCGUACGCUUCUUGGACUUCGGUUCAGGGAGGAAAGCGAUGCCGAGGGUAUCGCGCUCUUGGAUGGGCUCAUGUCCUAUCAGCUUGUUGGNGAGGUAACGGCUCACCAAGGCUUCGACGGGUAGCUGGUCUGAGAGGACGAUCAGCCACACUGGCACUGCGACACGGGCCAGACUCCUACGGGAGGCAGCAGUAAGGAAUAUUGCGCAAUGGGCGAAAGCCUGACGCAGCGACGCCGCGUGGGGGAUGAAGGUC
rnacentral:rRNA from 1 species